CCAGACUCCUACGGGAGGCAGCAGUGGGGAAUAUUGCACAAUGGGGGAAACCCUGAUGCAGCAACGCCGCGUGAGUGAGGAAGUAUUUCGGUAUGUAAAGCUCUAUCAGCAGGGAAUAGAAAAGAAGGUACCUGAAAAAGAAGCCCCGGCUAACUACGUGCCAGCAGCCGCGGUAAUACGUAGGGGGCGAGCGUUAUCCGGAUUCACUGGGUGUAAAGGAGGCGCAGACGGCGAUGCAAGCCAGGAGUGAAAGCCCGGGGCGCAACCCCGGGGCUGCGCUUGGAACUGCGUGGCUGGAGUGCAGGAGGGGCAGGCGGAAUUCCUGGUGUAGCGGUGAAAUGCGUAGAUAUCAGGAGGAACACCGGUGGCGAAGGCGGCCUGCUGGACUGCAACUGACGUUGAGGCCCGAAAGCGUGGGGAGCAAACAGGAUUAGAUACCCGAGUAUC
rnacentral:rRNA from 1 species